ensembl:misc_RNA 7SK 7SK RNA
GGAUGUGAAAGCUUCCACAGCUGUCACCCCACUGAUCACCAGGGCAUUCGGCUCAUCUGGCUGUCGAGGCAGGUGUCCUCUUCCUUCCUCACCUGGCUGGGUGCUCCCUGCCAAAGCCAUAUAUGUGCUAUGUUGAAGAUGACAAACUUCCCGGAGUAGAGAUGGGCGGUCUUCUGUUGAGGAUAUAGGAGUAGCUGCGCUCCCCUGCUAGAACCUCCAAAGAAGCUCUGAGUUAUUUCAAAAGGUUACACACAGCUGUGUGAUUCCACUUUCAUAACAUUGUGAUGUACAGUUGUGGAAAUAGAAAGCACAGUAUAGUUGCCAAUAUUA